AUGUUGAAUUGUUGUCAUACUAUCAGCUGUGACUGGAAUUAUGGACAAAUUCGUCUUCCGAGGCCCACGACUGAUUGUACCUGUUGCUCUUCGCUGGUCUCCAUAGCGCACAAAGGACACCAAGGGGAGGUGAGAACUAAACAGUGCCUCCGUGAUCUCUAUUGGUGGCCAGGGAUGAAAGUUCACCAUGCUGUCCGUUCCUGUCAUGUAUGUCAACUCAAUGACAAAACUGUGAAGUCACAUCCUGCUCCUCUUCAGCCGGUGCAACUGCCAGAUGGACCAUGGCAGAAAGUAGCUGUGGAUGUAGUCGGACCGUUUGAUACUGCCGCAUCUGAUUGCAGGUUUGCUAUAACAUUGACUAAUUAUUACAGUAAAUGGCCUGAGGUCUCCUUUACUCACACUGUCACUACAGACUCUGUGGUUUCGUUUCUGUCAUCUGUAUUCAGUCGCCAUGGCAAACCAUUGAGCACAGUUACUGACAACGGCAUUCCAUUUACAUCUGCUGCCUUCGCUGCUUUUCUGGAAAAAUGGAAUAUCCAGCACCAUCAUACCUCUCUCUACUAUCGAGCAGCUAAUGGUGCUGUAGAAGGGUUAAACUGUGUGCUCAAACACUCUGUCCAAAUGGCCAUCCAGCAACAUCUGCCAUGGAAACCUGCUGUAACUGAAUUCUUGCAAGUGUACUGUGCCACUCUGCAUGCUGCAACCGGUACCUCACCUUUUCAGCUCCUCUAUGGCAGGCAAAUGUGCACAAGGCUGUCUAUUCUGCCAUCUCUUCCUGUGUGCUCACCCACGGAUAUGACUGUUUGCCAAAGGGUUACACGGCUGCAACAUAAAAUGAAACUGUAUACUGAUGCCAAACGUGGAGCAAACACUCCUUGCUUCCAGGAGGUGGAUAAAGUGAGAGUUCGCAACCAUCUGCAUGUUCCUAAGGGACACAGGAAGUUCACAGAUCCUCUCACAGUUAACAAGAAACUGGGGGUGGGUACAUAUGUUCUGAGCGAUGGGAAAACUUGGAAUGCUUCUAAACUCCCUCCAUUCCCAUGCACAACAUCAACUCCUGCUGAGAACACUGGUCAAUGUACCAAUACUCAGACCUAA
ensembl:lncRNA